GACACACUCGGGAGAGCGCAUCGCUGGCAGCGAUGAGGUCAGGGGUUCGAUCCCCCUAGGCUCCA
rnacentral:tRNA from 1 species